rnacentral:rRNA from 1 species
GUUUGAUCCUGGCUCAGAACGAACGCUGGCGGCGUGCCUAACACAUGCAAGUCGAACGUGAUCCAGAGCUUGCUCUGGUGAAAGUGGCGCACGGGUGAGUAACGCGUAGAUAAUCUACCUGAUGAUUUGGAUAACACUUCGAAAGGGGUGCUAAUACCGGAUAAAGCCCACGGAGUCCUUGGACACUGCGGGAAAAAGGGGGGGACCUUUUGGCCUUCCGUCAUCAGAUGAGUCUGCGUACCAUUAGCUAGUUGGUAGGGUAAAGGCCUACCAAGGCGACGAUGGUUAGCUGGUCUGAGAGGAUGAUCAGCCACACUGGAACUGAGACACGGUCCAGACUCCUACGGGAGGCAGCAGUGGGGAAUUUUGCGCAAUGGGGGAAACCCUGACGCAGCAACGCCGCGUGAGUGAUGAAGGCCCCUUGGGUCGUAAAGCUCUGACAGAGGGAAAGAAAUGCAGGGGGGCUAAUACCCUUUUUGCUUGACGGUACCCUCAAAGGAAGCACCGGCUAACUCCGUGCCAGCAGCCGCGGUAAUACGGGGGGUGCAAGCGUUGUUCGGAUUUAUUGGGCGUAAAGCGCGUGUAGGCGGUUUUUUAAGUCUGAUGUGAAAGCCCUGGGCUCAACCUGGGAAGUGCAUUGGAUACUGGAAGACUUGAAUACGGGAAGAGGGCAGUGGGAAUUCCUGGUGUAAGGAGUGAAAUCCGGUAGAUAUCAGGAGGAACACCGGUGGCGAAGGCGGCUGCCUGGACCGAUAUUGACGCUGAGACGCGAAAGCGUGGGUAGCAAACAGGAUUAGAUACCCUGGUAGUCCACGCCGUAAGCGAUGAGUACUAGGUGUUGCGGGUAUUGACCCCUGCAGUGCCGCAGCUAACGCAUUAAGUACUCCGCCUGGGAAGUACGGUCGCAAGACUAAAACUCAAAUGAAUUGACGG